rnacentral:SRP_RNA from 1 species
GCCAGGCGAGGUGGCGCAUGCCUGUAGUCCCAGCUACUCAGGAGGCUGAGGCUGGAGGAUCACUUGAGCCCAGGAGUUCUGGGCUGUAGUGCGCUAUGCCAAUCGGGUGUCCGCACUAAGUUCGGCAUCAAUAUGGGACCUCCCGGAAGUGGGGGCCCACCAGGUUGCCUAAGGAGGGGUGAACUGGCCCAGGUCAGAAAUGGAGCAGGUCAAAACUCUGGUGCUGAUCAGUAGUGGGAUCGCGUCUGUGAAUAACCACUGCACUCCAGCCUGGGCAACACAGCGAGACCCUGCAUCU